rnacentral:rRNA from 1 species
GUAGGUGGCAAGCGUUGUCCGGAAUUAUUGGGCGUAAAGCGCGCGCAGGCGGUUCGUUUAAGUCUGAUGUGAAAGACCCACGGGCUCAACCGUGGAGGGUCAUUGGAAACUGGAGAACUUGAGUACAGAAGAGGAAAGCGGAAUUCCACGUGUAGCGGUGAAAUGCGUAGAGAUGUGGAGGAACACCAGUGGCGAAGGCGGCUUUCUGGUCUGUAACUGACGCUGAGGCGCGAAAGCGUGGGGAGGCAAACAGGAUUAGAUACCCUGGUAGUCCACGCCGUAAACGAUGAGUGCUAAGUGUUAGGGGGUUUCCGCCCCUUAGUGCUGCAGCUAACGCAUUAAGCACUCCGCCUGGGGAGUACGGCCGCAAGGCUG